CAGCCGCCACGGUAAUACGAAGGGUGCAAGCGUUAUUCGGAAUUACUGGGCGUAAAGCGCACGUAGGCGGCUUUGUAAGUUAGAGGUGAAAGCCCAGAGCUCAACUCUGGAAUUGCCUUUAAGACUGCAUCGCUUGAAUCCAGGAGAGGUGAGUGGAAUUCCGAGUGUAGAGGUGAAAUUCGUAGAUAUUCGGAAGAACACCAGUGGCGAAGGCGGCUCACUGGACUGGUAUUGACGCUGAGGUGCGAAAGCGUGGGGAGCAAACAGGAUUAGAUACCCCAGUAGUCCCUGUCUCUUAUAC
rnacentral:rRNA from 1 species